rnacentral:lncRNA from 1 species
CGAACUCCUGGCCUCAAGUGAUCUGCCUGCUUCGGCCUCCCAAAGUGCUGGGAUUACAGGCAUGAGCUACCGUGCCCUGGCUGCAUAUCUGCCUUCUUCCCAGACCCUACCAAUGCCUUCUCCCUCUUUUUGUGCAUUCUACUUCUUCACCUCCUGAGGGUCUCUCUGGUUCUUGGGGGACAUGCCAGAAGAGGCAGGUGUCAACAUUGCAGAGGCAGAACUGCCUGGGCAUGGAGCGGGCCGCUUCAUCCAGGAAGCACACACAGGGCCGGCACUCCUGGUAUGUUUGACAGAGAGCGUUGGAUUCGACUUGGGGACCUGCAGCGUUGCUCCUAGGGUUGCAGUCCUGUGAGCAAGCAAUGUCGGUUAUGAAGUUCAAGGGGAGAGAGAAGAAAUUGAUGAAAACAGUGGCUCAUCCGGGACUGUCUUCCUUCUCUGGUUUGUGCCUUGACUUCUUCAGAGCUUGGGCCUGAAGGCGUGAGCUCCAUCUCAUUCGCCGCUGGCACACUGGGCCACAAACGGCUCACUAGGUUCUUGGAGUGUGGGAAGUCCAUGCGGUGCUCCUUCUGGAUACGCAGCAUCUUCCUGAUGUUGGAGUCGUCGUAAGGCAUGGAGCUGCAGACCAUGAUGUAGAGGAUCAUGCCCAGGCUCCAGAUGUCAUACACCAUGGGCUGGUAGGGGAUGCCCUGCAGCAGCUCGGGGGCUGCAUAUGCCACCAACCCGCAGAAGUUCUUGCUUAAUCUCUGUUGGCCACUGUCAUCCCGCAGGCAGAGCUUGGAGAACCUGAAGUAGAACAGCUUGAUGUUGAAGUCCUUGUCGAGGAGAAGGUUCUAACACUUGAGGUUCUGGUGCACGAUGUCCAGGUCGUGGCAGUAUUUAAUGGCUGAGGAGAGUUGGUGGAACAUCUUGCACGCCAUGUCCUUGGGCAGGGCUCCCUGGCACUCAAUGAACUAGUUUUUUUUCUGGCCCUGGCUGGGCUCCCAGGGCAGAUCUGGGGCUGGGUGCUAAAGGCGGGGCCUGGAUGCCACCCUGAGCACUGGUGGCUGCUCUGAGGAUAGUACAAGCAGCAGGGGCAGCACUGGAGAGUGUGGCCAUUGUUUUUUCUGGCAGUGGAGCCCCUCUGCUGUGCCAGGCUCUGUGUCCAGCACUUGUUCCGGGCUACGCCCUAGGGGAGUAGGAGUCACAUGACUAUCCUAGCCUUGGAUUUGACUUUGGCCUCAUCCACCUAGAGGGAGUGAGCACCCCUUUCUCACAGGAGCCAAGUGGAACCCUGGGCCCCUCAGGAUGACUUGGUAGGGCGGGCUGGUUGUCACUCAUGUUGGGUUGGGUCCCCACCUGCCGUGGCCCUUCCCCCUUUUCUCUGCUCCUUCACCUUCUUCCCUAACCCUGACUGCCCACUGCCAGGCCUUUGUGCAUUCUUGGUUCUCCUCCUUCCAGACAGCCUCCUUCUCCUUCCCGCUGGGGACACCCCAACUACUGUCUCCUGGAAACCAAAAAUAAAACUCUAACCCCCCAGC